GACCGCUCGUCCGAAUCUCCAGCGACCGCAUCACUAGAGACGUUGCGACUGAUAUCGUGCUCACGGAAUUCUCUAUCGUUUCCUGGAUGAGUUAGCGCGGGUUUGGAUGGGGAGCCGGCGAGGAUGACAAUGACGCACUCGUCGCAUGAAGGAAGAGGUUCAUCGAUGUGGAUCCUAGCGCCGGGAACAUCGCAGAGAUGGCGAAG
rnacentral:misc_RNA from 1 species